rnacentral:lncRNA from 1 species
GAGACGUCCAGUGCAGGACUCUGCAAGAACCCUCUGUAAUUCGGUGACACCCACUCCUCAGGGCAGAGCAAAGGGUGACACUGCUUGAGAAGUGCUGGUGCUAGAUCAGGGCAGGGAAGGAACAUAUAAGCCAAGCAACAUCCACAGCUGCUCCCAAAGAAUGGACUUCACACUCAGAAGAAAAGACGUCUGGGUUGUAGGUAGCGUGUGCCUUCUCUCGUCUUCAGUUCUCUGGUGCUUGAUCCGGUUCGUGAUGACCCGGGGAGGCCACUGGCAGACUCCUGCUCUUGAGGACGUGCAGCAACUUGGGAAACCUUCUAUUUGUCCUUGUAUUGGGAAAAGUUUCUGCCAGAACCAAGAACCACUGUCCGUAAGUGGAGGGAAGUUCAGACUGAAGAAAGAGGCAAAACCACUUUAGGUUGAGUCUUGCUCUGUCACCCAGGCUGGAGUGCGGUGGUGUGAUCUUGGCUCACUGCAACCUCUGCCCCCCAAGUUCAAGCGAUUCUCCUGCCUUGGCCUCCCGAGUAGCUGGGACUACAGAUGGAAUCUUGCUGUGUCUCCAGGCUGGAGUGUAGUGGCGCGAUCUCGGCUCACUGCAACCUCUGCCUCCCGGGUUCAAGCAAUUCUCCUGCCUCAGCCUCCCGAGUAGCUGGGACUACAGGUGCCAGCCAUCACGCCCGGCUAAUUUUUUGUAUUUUUAGUAGAGAUGGGGUUUCACCAUGUUGGCCAGGAUGGUCUCGAUCUCCUGACCUCGUGAUCUACCCGCCUCAGCCUCCCAAAGUGCUGGGAUUAUAGGCGUGAGCCACCGCGCCCAGCCUAGUCUCUGCUUUUUUAAAAAAAAUGUUAGGACAGUGGUCCCUAAACUUGUCUGUGUAUUAGAAUCACCUGGGAAAUCUUUAAAAAUUCUAAGGACCAGGUAAAUUAAAUUAUAAUCUCUGGGAAUAGGACUGAUUUUUGUAUUUUUAGUAGAGACGGGGUUUUGCCAUGUUCACCAGGCUGGUCUCGAACUCCUGACCUCAGGUGAUCCACCCGCCUCAGCCUCCCAAAGUGUUGGGAUUACAGGUGUGAGCCACCACAUCCAGCCCAGACUAAUUUUUCUGAUGACAAAUGCUGCUUGUUGAUGUGAAUUCUGAUAUGGCACACACUUGAGCCUCACUUUGUUAGCUAUUAAUUUGUGUUACUGAAUUUACAGGCCUGGAAUACAAUUUGUGCUUCUUUUUAAAUAAAUUUCAUACUUUUUUUUUAAUGGACUUGUAAUCUACCUGAACUUGAAUUUGUU